UUUUAGAGAAUAAGAUUUCCAGAUGAAAACCAGGGAGCAUGUUCCAAUUUUUAAUACAUCAAGGAAGAUGUUCUUCCUUGCUACCAGCCCCAUUUUCUAAUCAGUUAACGCUUCCUGUGAUAUCUGUAGGGGAAAGGUGUAGUGCAAUUGACAGGGAGAGAUGAGAUCUUAAGCCUCUGCUCAUUUAUUGGGUGCUGAGUAGCAAUGCCUCCCGCAGGCCACAGGAACUUAUCUCCGCCGAUCUGUUACAGCUGGAAGGAUGGGGAGAUAGCACCAUAGAUCCACUCCUCAUUUUAUGGGCAAAGAAGCUAAGGCCUGUAAAAAUGGCAUGCCCAAAUGGUUACGAGGAAAUCCUUCAAAAUGCGUUCUUGUGAAAAACGUGACAACGGAAGGAAGGAGGGAGGGAUAGGAAGAAGGAAAGAGAAGCAAAAGUUCCCUGUUUCUCACGGCCCUGAAACCAGCCGACAGGGAUUUGCAUUUUGAAAAACCUUGCGUGGCUGCCGGCGCUGGGCAUGCUCAAACGCCCAGAACUGGCUUUUUUCGGCAACUUUGGCAGCUCUCCCACCCCCACCCGAAGGGGCAGGUACGCA